rnacentral:rRNA from 1 species
GAUGAACGCUAGCGACAGGCUUAACACAUGCAAGUCGAGGGGCAGCGGGGUUGUAGCAAUACAACUGCCGGCGACCGGCGCACGGGUGAGUAACACGUAUGUAACCUGCCCUCUGCAGGGGGAUAAGCGGAAGAAAUUCCGUCUAAUACCGCAUAAUACAAUUUGGAGACAUCUCCGGGUUGUCAAAGGAGUGAUCCGGCAGAGGAUGGACAUGCGGCGCAUUAGCUAGUCGGCGGGGUAACGGCCCACCGAGGCUACGAUGCGUAGGGGUUCUGAGAGGAAGGUCCCCCACACUGGUACUGAGACACGGACCAGACUCCUACGGGAGGCAGCAGUGAGGAAUAUUGGUCAAUGGGCGGAAGCCUGAACCAGCCAAGUCGCGUGAGGGAAGACGGUCCUAUGGAUUGUAAACCUCUUUUGCAGGGGAGCAAGGCGCGGUACGUGUACCGCGAAGGAGAGUACCCUGAGAAAAAGCAUCGGCUAACUCCGUGCCAGCAGCCGCGGUAAUACGGAGGAUGCGAGCGUUAUCCGGAUUUAUUGGGUUUAAAGGGUGCGCAGGCGGACUGUUAAGUCAGCGGUAAAAUGUCGGUGCUCAACACCGGCCGGCCGUUGAAACUGGCAGCCUUGAGUGAGCGAGAAGUAUGCGGAAUGCGUGGUGUAGCGGUGAAAUGCAUAGAUAUCACGCAGAACUCCGAUUGCGAAGGCGGCAUACCGGCGCUCAACUGACGCUCAGGCACGAAAGCGUGGGUAUCGAACAGGCUUAGAUACCCUGGUAGUCCACGCAGUAAACGAUGAAUGCUCACUGUCCGGGCCGUUUAAGGCCUGGGUGGUCAAGCGAAAGCGUUAAGCAUUCCACCUGGGGAGUACGCCGGCAACGGUGAAACUCAAAGGAAUUGACGGGGGCCCGCACAAGCGGAGGAACAUGUGGUUUAAUUCGAUGAUACGCGAGGAACCUUACCCGGGCUCAAACGGAAGGGGACAGUAUGAGAAAUCAUACAUUCCUUCGGGACCGCUUCCGAGGUGCUGCAUGGUUGUCGUCAGCUCGUGCCGUGAGGUGUCGGCUUAAGUGCCAUAACGAGCGCAACCCCUAUCGACAGUUGCUAGCAGGUAAAGCUGAGGACUCUGUCGAGACUGCCGGCGCAAGCUGUGAGGAAGGCGGGGAUGACGUCAAAUCAGCACGGCCCUUACGUCCGGGGCGACACACGUGUUACAAUGGCAGGUACAGCGGGAAGCCACCCGGCGACGGGGCGCAGAACCCGAAAACCUGUCUCAGUUCGGAUUGGAGUCUGCAACCCGACUCCAUGAAGCUGGAUUCGCUAGUAAUCGCGCAUCAGCCACGGCGCGGUGAAUACGUUCCCGGGCCUUGUACACACCGCCCGUCAAGCCAUGGAAGCCGGGGGUGCCUGAAGUGCGUGACCGCAAGGGACGCCCUAGGGUAAAACCGGUGACUGGGGCUAAGUCGUAACAAGGUAGCCGUACCGGAAGGUGCGGCUGGAACACCUCCUUUCUGGAGCAAUAAGGCCCGCACGGCGCGCCCGCUCCGGUAGACGCACUUAGAUUCAUAGGCAAAGGAAGAAAAGACAUACUGCAUAGUAUCGACGUUGUCACACCAUAUACCGUAACGCAGCCCCACUGCCGCGACAUGCGGCACAGCCGCCGCACGGACGCGCAGUCUCUUAGCUCAGUUGGUUAGAGCGCUACACUGAUAAUGUAGAGGUCGGCAGUUCAACUCUGCCAGGGACUACACAGAAAGAGAACAUUGACAUACUGGAAGCGUAAAGAUGAGCAAUCAUCUUUGCAAACACGAGCAAAUCAAAAGAAUCAAGACAUACGAACGAGCGCGCGUCGAUAAAACGACGAGCAACGAAGUUCAUGCCGACGCAAAAGCAUUUACAACCCAGUUGUCGCAGUAGCGGCAACGCGUAAACAGGCGAAAAAUCCAAUCUAAAAGGAAAGGAGAAAAGGGCACAUGAAGGAUGCCUUGGCUCUCGGAUGCGACGAAGGACGUGACAAGCUGCGAUAAGCUGUGGCCAGGGGCAAAUACCCGCUAACAACCACAGAUUUCCGAAUGGGGCAACCCACCAUUUCGAUGGUAUCACGCAAAGCGUGAGGCUAACCCGGGGAACUGAAACAUCUAAGUACCCGGAGGAAAAGAAAACAACAGUGAUUGCGCAAGUAGUGGCGAGCGAACGCGCAGGAGCCCAAACCGUUCCUGUUACGGCAGGGACGGGGUUAUAGGACCGUCGCCGGUCCGCCGACAUCAGGUCAGCCGAACGGCUUGGAAAAGCCGGCCAUAGCGGGUGAAAGCCCCUUAGGCGAAGACCUCGACGACAGCGGCAGACGGCACCUGAGUAGUGCGGGACACGCGAAAUCCUGCAUGAAUUCACGGGGACCAUCCCGUAAGGCUAAAUAUUCCCGAGAGACCGAUAGCGAACC